rnacentral:tRNA from 1 species
GGCAAGGUGGCCGAGCGGUCUAAGGCGCGCGGUUAAGGCUUCCUAACUCGGAUCCCUCUCUUGAUCUCAUCAAGUUCCGCGUCAUUAAUUUGGCGUGGGUUCGAAUCCCACCCUUGUCA